rnacentral:lncRNA from 1 species
UUGAGUUUGAUUUUUGAACGGGAAUCAUCGAAAGGUGGAGUUUUGGGAGCUCGACGAACCAACAUCGUAGCUAACCAAAUUCACCAGCAAUAUCAUCAUAAGACUCUUAUCGAAAACCCUCACAUUCUCGUUGUGUCCCUUCACACUCUUCCUGGCAUGCAACACUGCCACUCUUUUCUUCCCGAGAUCGAUGCAGCAACAAUUUCCUGCAAUGGAAGCCAAACCUGAAGGAUUGCAGUAGUGAAGCUGAGCCAAAUUCAGGUACGUGUUCCCGGAGAUUCGUGAACACCUCCUCCCCUUAACACUCUGAGUCUUCUCCUUCGGAUACACCUUUCCCAUUCUCUUGCUCCCACACUCAACCGAACCUAAAAAUAAAGGAAAGAAAAUUAAAAAACAAAGAUUAAGAAGAUGAAGAAGAAGAGAAAGAGGAGAAAGAGAUGGUUUCUAUAGGAUGAUAGUGAAAAUCGAAGGUGAAACAGAGAGGGAAAGAAGAGA